GUCCGCAUAGCUCAGUCGGCGUGAGCACUCGCAUGGUAAGCGAGAGGAGCCGGUUCGAUUCCGGCUGCGGGCU
rnacentral:tRNA from 1 species